GAAAGAUAGAGGUAGUAACUGGCCUUUAUUGACGGUAAUUACUUGGAAAGUCACGGCUAACUACGUGCCAGCAGCCGCGGUAAUACGUAGGUGGCAAGCGUUGUCCGGAUUUAUUGGGCGUAAAGCGAGUGCAGGCGGUUCAAUAAGUCUGAUGUGAAAGCCUUCGGCUCAACCGGAGAAUUGCAUCAGAAACUGUUGAACUUGAGUGCAGAAGAGGAGAGUGGAACUCCAUGUGUAGCGGUGGAAUGCGUAGAUAUAUGGAAGAACACCAGUGGCGAAGGCGGCUCUCUGGUCUGCAACUGACGCUGAGGCUCGAAAGCAUGGGUAGCGAACAGGAUUAGAUACCCUGGUAGUCCAUGCCGUAAACGAUGAGUGCUAAGUGUUGGGAGGUUUCCGCCUCUCA
rnacentral:rRNA from 1 species